rnacentral:snoRNA from 1 species
UUAAAAAGUGGGCAUGACCAGUUCCUUGUUGGCUGGUGCAAUCCAGUGGUGAGCUGACCAUAAACCCCAGCCUAAGAAACAGGGUUGUUCUUCAUGUGGAUGACUCUGGUAGAGAGCAGCAUAGGAACAGCC